UGUUAUAUCGCAGCGAUCGGCCUCUCGAUGAUCCUCGUCUUCUUACUCAUCCUCAUUCCUAUCUGGAUCUAUCAAACCCGCGCAGCAGGCAUCGACCGCCAAAGGGAAAGAAGGCGAGGGCGUGGAAGUGAGGCGCAGCCCCCAGGUUCCAUUGUUUACGCCUCGGUCCAGUUCGCCGCCUCGCCUCCCGCCGGCAGGUGAGAACCAGAUUGUGUUUUGUGCCAACGUUGGAUUGUGAAGAGAAGGCCCAAGGCAGCGGCGACACUACAUCCCCCUCUGAAUAUUCCGGGGUUGCCUGAAUCCCUGUGGCUCGGUGCCGGAAAAGCAAAUCAAACAAUGUAAUGUUAGACCUAGAUUAAUCCCGCUAUUGAGGAAUGUUCGAAACCUUAAGGGCAGAGGCCUUUGGCAAGGCGUGUGCAAUUCUUCCAUUCCUCUGAUCUAGGAGUUUUGUUUUUG